rnacentral:rRNA from 1 species
CACGUAGUUAGCCGUGACUUCCUCGCCGGGUACCAUCACUCGGAAAGCUUUCCACUCUUUCUGCCUUUUGUCCCCGGCAACAGAGCUUUACGAUCCGAAGACCUUCCUCGCUCACGCGGCAUUGCUCGUUCAGGGUUCCCCCCAUUGACGAAAAUUCCCUACUGCUGCCUCCCGCAGGAGUCUGGGCCGUGUCUCAGUCCCAGUGUGGCCGUCCGCCCUCUCAGGCCGGCUAUGCAUCGUCGCCUUGGUGAGCCGUUACCUCUCCAACCAGCUAAUGCACCGCAGGUCCAUCUGCAUGCGGGACUCUUGUCCCCUUUUACCAAAAAGAGAUGCCUCCUCUUUGCUCAUCCGGUAUCAGUCUUCCGUUUCCAGAAGUUCUCCCGCUCAUGCAGGCAGGUUCCCUACGUGUUACUCACCCGUUCGCCACUCAUACUCCGAAGAUACUCCGUUCGACUUGCUAUGUAUUAGGCAUCGCCCGCCAGGUCCGUUCACUUCCCUGUACGCCAGGGUAA